rnacentral:rRNA from 1 species
UACGUAGGGGGCAAGCGUUGUCCGGAUUUAUUGGGCGUAAAGAGCGCGUAGGCGGUUUGGUAGGUCCGCUGUGAAAACUCGAGGCUCAACCUCGAGACGCCGGUGGAAACCAUCAGACUAGAGUCCGGAAGAGGAGAGUGGAAUUCCUGGUGUAGCGGUGAAAUGCGCAGAUAUCAGGAAGAACACCCGUGGCGAAGGCGGCUCUCUAGUACGGUACUGACGCUGAGACGCGAAAGCGUGGGGAGCGAACAGG